CCCUUUGUACACACCGCCGUCGCUGUCCGGGACUGAGCUGUUUCGAGAAGAGUGAGGACUGACGCAAAGGGGGCUUCGGCCUCUUCUGCGAUGGGAAUCACUUUAAUCGCAAUGGCUUGAACCGGGCAAAAGUCGUAACAAGGUACCUGUAGGUGAACCUGCAGGUGGAUCAUCG
rnacentral:rRNA from 1 species